UUUAAAACUUUCAACAACGGAUCUCUUGGUUCCGGCAUCGAUCAAGAACGCAGCGAAAUGCGAUACGUAAUGUGAAUUUCAAAUUCAGUGAUUCAUCGAGUCUUUGAACGCACAUUGCGCCCCCUGGUAUUCCGGGGGGCCUUGCCUGUCCGAGCGUCA
rnacentral:rRNA from 1 species